CCUACGGGUGGCAGCAGUGGGGAAUAUUGGGCAAUGGGCGCAAGCCUGACCCAGCAACGCCGCGUGACGGAAGAAGGCUUUCGGGUUGUAAACUUCUUUUCUGAGGGACGAAGAAAGUGACGGUACCUCCGGAAUAAGCCACGGCUAACUACGUGCCAGCAGCCGCGGUAAUACGUAGGUUGCACGCGUUAUACGGAUUGAUUGGGUGUAAGGGGCGUGUAGGCGGGAAAGCAAGUCAGAUGUGAAAACUCCGGGCUCAACCCUGGGCCUGCCUUUGAAACUGUUUUUCUUGAGUGCUGGAGAGGCAAUCGGAAUUCCGUGUGUAGCGGUGAAAUGCGUAGAGAUACGGAGGAAAACCAGUGGCGAAGGCGGAUUGCUGGACAGUAACUGACGCUGAGGCGCGAAAGCGUGGGGAGCAAACAGGAUUAGAUACCCGGGUAGUC
rnacentral:rRNA from 1 species